CUUGAUAAAUUUGAUGUUUUUCAAACUAUCACUCAGAUACAGAACAAAAAUCUUCUUUUAAGACUACCCCAUCUUUAUAAAGAGGAUAUUCAUAUCCUUAACGUUUUGCUUUAUCCAUGGCUUGUUUACAUGUACGCUUAUCACAAGAAACUAGAGAAUAUUGAAGGAAUUGCCGGAAUAUUUAGUAAAUGAAAAUCAUUCAACACAUCAACACUGCCCGAGCGUUUGAUAUUGGGUUUUCACGAAAUUUACAUUGUUAAAGUACAGACAUAUUGGGUAACAGACCUCCAUGUUAACUUUUAUUA